GACGUAGGGCGCGAGCGUUGUCCGGAUUUAUUGGGCGUAAAGAGCUCGUAGGCGGCUUGUCGCGUCGUCUGUGAAAUCCCGCGGCUCAACCGCGGGUCUGCAGUCGAUACGGGCAGGCUAGAGUUCGGUAGGGGGAGACUUGGAAUUCCUGGUGUAGCGGUGAAAUGACGCAGAUAUCAGGAGGAACACCGGUGGGCCGAAGGCGGGGUCUCUGGGCAUUAAACUGACGUG
rnacentral:rRNA from 1 species